rnacentral:rRNA from 1 species
GACGUAGGGCGCAAGCGUUGUCCGGAUUUAUUGGGCGUAAAGAGCUCGUAGGCGGCUUGCCACGUCUGCCGUGAAAACCAGCAGCUUAACUGUUGGCUUGCGGUUGAUACUGGAUGGCUUGAGUUCGGGAGAGGGAUGCGGAAUUCCAGGUGUAGCGGUGAAAUGCGUAGAUAUCUGGAGGAACACCGGUGGCGAAGGCGGCAUCCUGGACCGACACUGACGCUGAGGAGCGAAAGCCAGGGGAGCAAACGGG